GAUGAACGCUGGCGGCGUGCCUAAUACAUGCAAGUCGAGCGAACGGACGAGAAGCUUGCUUCUCUGAUGUUAGCGGCGGACGGGUGAGUAACACGUGGAUAACCUACCUAUAAGACUGGGAUAACUUCGGGAAACCGGAGCUAAUACCGGAUAAUAUUUUGAACCGCAUGGUUCAAAAGUGAAAGACGGUCUUGCUGUCACUUAUAGAUGGAUCCGCGCUGCAUUAGCUAGUUGGUAAGGUAACGGCUUACCAAGGCAACGAUGCAUAGCCGACCUGAGAGAGUGAUCGGCCACACUGGAACUGAGACACGGUCCAGACUCCUACGGGAGGCAGCAGUAGGGAAUCUUCCGCAAAGGGCGAAAGCCUGACGGAGCAACGCCGCGUGAGUGAUGAAGGUCUUCGGAUCGUAAAACUCUGUUAUUAGGGAAGAACAUAUGUGUAAGUAACUGUGCACAUCUUGACGGUACCUAAUCAGAAAGCCACGGCUAACUACGUG
rnacentral:rRNA from 1 species